AGCAAGAACUCUAGCCCCACCUUUUCCUACUAGCAACCAAAACAGACCAAACCAAAUCAUUUAUUCCGCCUAGUAUAUGAGAUAAAAAAACACCAACGAAGCACUAGAAUCAGUACCGCAAGGGAAAGAUGAAAGAACAUGAAAUAUCAAAGCAACAAAAAGCAGUGACAAACCCACGUACCUCUCGCAUCAUGAUUUAACAAGAAAUCUUCAGGUAAAAAGAACUAAAACCUGACACCCCGAAACCAGACGAGCUACCUUGAAGCAAUUUUUAAGAAUCAACUCACCUCUGUGACAAAAAAGGGAGAAGACCUCAAGGUAGAGGCGAAACACCAAACGAGCCUGGUAAUAGCUGGUUGCUCCACAAAUGAAUUUUAGUUCAACUCUAGGACCUAAAAAUCCCCACAUAGACUCCCCCCUAGAAGAUAUUCAAUGAGGGUACAGCUUCAUUGAAACAGGAAACAACCUUAAUUAGAGGGUAAACCACAUCACACCUUACCAGUAGGCCCCUAACCAGCCACCAAAAACAACCGCGUCAAAGCGUACUAACACCCUAUAUAAUUCAAACCAAAACUUCAACCCCCUAACUCCUAAUGGAGCUACCCUAUUAACCUAAUAGGGGAACUAAUGCUAAAACUAGUAAUAAGAAAUAUUCUCUACGCAUCCCUCUCAAUCAGAAAUAGAUAAACUACUGAAAAUUAACAAACCCUUACAAAGAACACUAAACCAUUACCCAAGCCAUAUUACUAAAUCUCUGUAACCCCAACCCAGGAAUGCCUAAAAGAAAGAUAAAAAGCCUAACAAGGAAUUCAGCUAAUAGAUCCCAACUGUUUACCAAAAACAUAGCCUUUAGCACAACAAGUAUUAAAGGUCUCGCCUGCCCAGUGAACUUUUUCAACGGCCGCGGUAUCCUAACCGUGCAAAGGUAGCGUAAUCACUUGUCCUCUAAAUAAGGACUUGUAUGAACGGCUAACUGAGGUUCUAACUGUCUCAUUAAGCCUAUCAAUGAAACUGAUCUUUCAGUACAAAAGCUGAAAUAAAAACAUAAGACGAGAAGACCCUGUGGAGCUUCAAACCGACACUAUAACCAAACCUCUAACCCCGAUAGGCACACCAAAUAUUAAUAGAAUAGGUUUUUAGUUGGGGCGACUUUGGAACUAAACCAAACUUCCAUGCCAGGGGCAACCCCCUAUCAAGGCAAACCUGCCAAAAUAUCCCUUUUUGACCCAGUCCAACUGAGCAACGAACCAAGUUACCCCAGGGAUAACAGCGCUAUCCCCUUCAAGAGUCCCUAUCGACAAGGGGGUUUACGACCUCGAUGUUGGAUCAGGACACCCCGGUGGUGCAACCGCUACCAAAGGUUCGUUUGUUCAACGAUUAACAGUCCUACGUGAUCUGAGUUCAGACCGGAGCAAUCCAGGUCGGUUUCUAUCUAUGCUUUUCUUCUUUAGUACGAAAGGACCAAGAAGACAAUACCAAUAGGGCCCCUACGUAUUGACUUUAAAGUUGACAACCACUCAAACCACUUCAACCCAAAACCAACCCAAAAACAGGGUU
rnacentral:rRNA from 1 species